rnacentral:tRNA from 1 species
GCUCUAGUAGCUCAGUAUCAGAGCACCGGUUUUGUAACCCGGAGGUCGAAAGUUAAAAUCCUUCCUAGUGCU